rnacentral:tRNA from 1 species
ACCUGGUUGGCUCAGUCAGUGGAGCAUGUGACUCUUGAUCUCCGAGGUUGUGAGUUCAAGCCUCAUGUUGGGUG